UACCUCCACUGCAGAAAUACAGCCGGUCCUGCUGCUCCAGACUGUGGACAGUGCUGGAUGCUGCUGGUCAUCCUGAAUCCAUCCUCUGCUCUUCUCCUCUCCCUCCUCUCAACCUCGGUCGUCUACCUCCACUGCAGAAAUAAAGCCGGUCCUGCUGCUCCAGACUGUGGGCAGUGCUGGAUGCUGCUGGUCAUCCUGAAUCCAUCCUCUGCUCUUCUCCUCUCCCUCCUCUCAACCUCGGUCGUCUACCUCCACUGCAGAAAUAAAGGGCAUCCAGUGAUGGACUUUGUAGCAGUAGCCGAUCUCUGGUCUGGAUACAUGCCCACAGAGAGUGCUGUGCUGCAGCUCCUGUAGUUGGAGGCAGUUUCUCAGGCUUGAUGCUCCCAGCUGCGGCCUCCUUGCUGAAGAUAUCAAAUCUUAAGUCUUCCAAAUCUUCAGAUGGUUUUCCGCGGAAUAUGGUCUUUAACAGUUCACAGCCAGCAUUGAUGAUGUCACUUUUCUUGGCUCUGAUUUCACUGAACACAUCCAUGGCCCGCUCUGAUUGGUCAGUCGUGCAGAGCUUAAUGAGCAAAGUUGGUUUGCUAAACACAGCCAGAAAAGCUAUGUAGGAAUAUAAAGGUAUUUAC
ensembl:lncRNA